UCUGUAUCUGAAGUUAGGAAUAUUGUUUACAUUUGGGGAACGUCCACCAGACAGUAUGCAAUAAGCCUGGAUGGGCCAUUUGGAGAACAAUAGGACUCUGAAGAUGCUAAUCUUCCACCUUCCUGAGAAGUUUCCUGGAAUGCUGUGAUCAUGUCACCUGGUGCUGGAUUACAUCUUGGACUUCUGGUAUCUUUCCACUAGGGGGUGAGGGAAUCGCACUGAAACAAAAGAUUUGUACCAUAUGUAAAUCCUAUUUAAGGCAGGGAAGUGAGGUAAUCAGGGUUCUUCUCCACUACCCUCCCACCCAAGAAGGAAGACUGCUGAAAACACCUGAAGAAACAAAGGAGCUAAGCUCAGGGGGUUGGGAGGCAGGGGCUGAGCCCUGGUGAGAAAGGUCUAGCCUGUGAAAGGAAUACCUGGAGAUCUAAACUGCACUGCUUGCAGCUUACCUUCAAGAAACUUUACAACCUACAAAAAACAACACUUAAGUAAGGACAAAGAGGUGUUCUUACACCUGGAAAAGACUAAAAGGCUGAUGCCUCAUCUCCAUCAUGUCUUCAGUCCUGUUUCAUACCUCUGGAAGGACUUUGCUACAAACAGAAGCUCUACACAAAUGACUGAUGACCUAUCCCAGCUGUGGAUGCACUCCAGAAACUUGAUUUGAACCUGCAGUUUAUUCCAUCACGGCUACAAGCCUGAACCAAGAACUUUGCCAUUACUAUGCCAGAGGGUUGUGAUGGGCAACUCCUCUUCCUUCCAAGAGUCUUCACUUUUAGAAUUGCACAAGAAUCGAUCCUGUCUUCAUCCCUUUUCAACAUUUCUAUGAGACUUCUUGGAUAAUGUAAGGGCUACAGGCUCCAAUGCCAUCAAUACACAGACAACACCUAGCUUUAAGUCUAAGGCCUGGUCUACACUAGGACUUUAAUUCGAAUUUAGCAGCAUUAAUUCAAAUUAACCGUGCACCCGUCCACACCAGGAAGCCAUUUAAUUCGACAUA